GGGGUCGUGGCGCAGUGGUAGCGCGUCUGUUUUGCAUAGCUUCAAUUGAGAAGCAUAUCUACAGAAGGUCCCGUGUUCAAUCCGCGGCGGCUCCA
rfam:Verticillium dahliae VdLs.17 supercont1.23 genomic scaffold, whole genome shotgun sequence.